UCACUGUCCCACAGGUUACAGAGAGGUCAUUAUGAUGUCACUGUCCCACAGGUUACAGAGAGGUCAUUAUGAUGUCACUGUCCCACAGGUUACAGAGAGGUCAUUAUGAUGUCACUGUCCCACAGGCUACA